rnacentral:rRNA from 1 species
UAGGGAAUCUUCCACAAUGGGCGCAAGCCUGAUGGAGCAACACCGCGUGAGUGAAGAAGGGUUUCGGCUCGUAAAGACUCUGUUGUUAAAGAAGAACACGUAUGAGAGUAACUGUUCAUACGUUGACGGUAUUUAACCAGAAAGUCACGGCUAACUACGUGCCAC